GCUGAGGGGAGAUGAACACAUGAGAGGGAGACCAAGAUAGAAGGUAAGGAAACAGCAUGAGUAAGAUGAGAGAGUUCUCAGAGACGGGCUAAUUGUGUACAUGGAGAUGAUGCAUCCUCAUGGAUUCAUGUCUAACCUUUUCUUUCUUCUGCCACGGUUUGGAUCCCCGAUCAGUAUGGCGGUCGGGCUGCAGCGGCGGCACUCCCGUGCCACCCGCCGUGCCCGUCCACCGGCAGCUGCGGCAUGUUGAGCGGCAAAUUGAAGAACGGCAGCCCCGACGACGGGUCCGUGAAGGAAGGGCCGAGGGCACCACUUGUCCCACCUCCGCCGCCGCUUGGGCUCUGUGACGCUGGCGGGUGCAUCUGGAGCUGCUGCGUCGCGGCGGCCGCCUCCUCCUCCUCCUCGUCCAACGGCAGUCUCUCAUAGGCGACGUUGGUGAACGACGCCGCGAUCACCGUCACGGACCCCGCCGCGAUUAGCGCCCCGACGACGCUCCCCCCGACCACCUGCCCCUGGCCGCCGGCCAGGAAGACCGCGAGGCUGGUCGCCCCCGGCGGUGCUGGCGGCGGGAGGAAAGAGCCCGAGAGGGACAGGAUCUCGAAGCGGCCCUGCAGGGUGGCAACGGGCGAGCCGGCGGGCUGGCGGAGGCUCACGUUGGCGACGGUCCCGCUGCCGCUGAGCACGCAGACCCCGCGCUGCCGGCGGCGGGCGUACGUGGAGAGGCACUCGAAGACGUCGCAGCCGCUGCCGACCUCCAGUAUGUGCGCGCGCAGGGCGUUGGCGCUCUCUCGGGUUAUGAUCACCGGCGGCUUCGGCUUGUUCUUGGAGCCCGGGGGGCGGCCCCGGGGCCUGCGGCCGAUGACGUCCCCGGGUCCGGCUGGGGCGGACAGCUCCAGCCCAUGGUUGGCGGCCUCGUCAGUGGCGACAGGGGAGUCGUCGGAGUCCGGCUUCGUGUGAGGAAGGUGGAGGUGAAGAGGGUGGACGAAGCGGGAGGCAGUGCCGAGAUCGAGCCCCGCCAUGCGGGGAAGACCAAAAAAUAAGGUAUUUGGUAGAAAAUUACACCAAAAUAAAGGUGAUGGGAUGGAAAACUAAAUUAAAAAUAGAUUUUUGUGAGUAAAAUACAAAUCUUUAUGUGAAUAAGGAUGAAGAAGAAUAAGAAGGUGAUGAGGAAGAGAGAAGAAGAUGGAAGGCUAGCUAUGAAAGUGGAGGAAAUAUAGAAAUGAGUAGUGAGUGCAAGAGAACAAGAAGAGGGAGAGCUCGGAGCUUCUCCUACUCAGAAGACAGAACAGGGAGAGAAGGGUGGAGAGGAUGCUUAGACUUUGAUGAGGUGAAAAGGAUCUGGGGAGAAGAAAUGUGUGACAUGAAAGAGUGGUGGGGCAUGAAGAGAUGUGUGACAUAAUGUGAUGGAGAUGUGGAUGUUUGUGGGGGAGGAAUAAUUUAAAGGUGUUUGGAUUUGGAUCAAGACAAAGAGGGUGGUGCAGACUUUAGAAGGAAGCAUUUAUUGAGGGAUUAAGGUUCAGGGUUGAUAAGAGAGGAGGAAGAGUGGGCACCAAAGUGUUUCUCACUCUACCAUGCAUGGAUGGAUAACUUGUUGAGAAAAGUUGGCGUUUGGUGGAAGAAUUCAGCAUAGGAUGCAUGGAUUGGCUUGCAGUGAGGAGCCUUUGGCUAGGGUUUACCUGUGUUUUUAUCUCUUUGAUGAUAGGGUGGAGGGCUCACUUGCUUUUAUCACUCACCAUCUAUCAAAUAAGAUCACUUUGUUUGGCUUUAUUUGGGAUAUUUGAGCUUCAAAGGACAGUAGACUUUCUUAGUACUUAGUUACAAUUUUUCGCUAUGAAUACUUAGAAACCGGUUUAAAAUUAUAUUCAUGAGAUCUGAUAUAGUUUUCGAUAGUGUGGAUUUGUUCUAAAGAGAUUUAAAAUGCUAUAAUUAGAUGAUGAUAGAUAAUUAAUAUUGGUAAUAUGAAAAUAGAAUGAAAGACAAAAAAACACUUUAUUAGACAUGUCUGUUCUUAAUCUUUAUGCAAACAAAUGUUGGUUUAAACUUUGUAAAUAGAUUGAGAAAUUACAAUCUGAAUGAAGGAUAAAGGCUUGAGUAUGUACUCCAACCACAGAGACAAAUAUCUUCCCUUCCUUACAAUAUGAUUUCUUUAGUAUUGAUGAUAAGAUUUUGAAUGUUGUACUUCAACCUAUGUAGCGAUCUAAUCAAGUUCAAAAUAAUUUCUUUACUGGGAUGGUCAAUUAAUCAUGGGGAAAAUGCUAAAAAAAGAUGUGCUCAAGAAUACAUCAUCUACAAUAAUCCCUAAUUAAAAAUUCAAAAGCAAAUCAAACAACAUAAAAUAUGCAUGUCAACUAACUUAUCGAGCAACAUAAAUAAUUAGUUGAGGAUUAAUCUGUCAACUCAUUAUCUCUUCUGUCAAGUUUCUCCAUUAUUUGAAUGUUCUUCACAGGUUGUUCAGCUCAAAGACUUGUAGUGCAGCCUAAGCUUCCCCAAUAGUUUAGUGCAAUGUCAAGAUAAUUUAAUUGGGAGUAACAUGCAAUAAUUGUACACCUUCAGCAUGCUCAUUACUCCUCAUCCUGCCAAUGGUCACAGAUCAACUACAGCACAGCAGGAUAAACAAAUCAAAAGUUCAACUUUGUAGCUGCUCAUUAUGUCGCUUUUGAAGGUAAUAAUCUAUCAAAUGAUAAGUUGUCUACCAAAUAGUUCAUACACAAUGGCAGAUGAAGAAUUAGAUAGAUCUAGUUCUUCCCUAAUAGCUUGAAUUUUGUGUUUAUUGAUUAUUAGAUUCAAGAUUUUUAGGUUAUAAGUGUUGUUUUAUUCAUAUCGAUACAAUAUCGUUCUCUCUACUCGGGUUCGAUUUUAUUCACCAAGUAUAAUACGGUUUGUGCGUGAAAGGAAAUAUUAGUUUAAGAUUUUGAAAUUACUUGUCAUCCGAUUGAAAAUCUCUAUGGUCCAACAAAAACCAAAGAUUUCACAAAAUGAAGUAGUAUUCGUCUCGUCGUUGCGUGAAACAAAUAUUAUUAGUGACUAAAGGACUACAUAAGUAUGGAAUUAAGGACAUUCCACAAUAUGUUUCUCAACCAUGAAAGAUGCUUAAUGCUUGCUUGAUCAGAAGCUCACCAUGUAAUUAUUAUAUUAAGGUGUAUUCUUCUUUGAUAAAGCAUAGAAAAGUUUGGUUUGCCACCUCAAUUUCGAAAGAAUUAGGUUCCUUUCUUCUCCCACAAGUCAAUGCUUUGCUAAUGGUUUGGAUUAGUUUAAUGUGUGUGCUGCUUUAGCUAUUUUGUCGUCAUGAGAAAGGAAAACAAGUGAAGAGUCGCAAGGAAGAAUGGAUUGGAUAAGAAAGCUUCCUUUGUCACCAAAUUUUACCAAGAGGUAUGAUAGUUUAUGGGUAACAUCAUAUGAUGUCAUGGAAGGCAACUUGUAGCUAGAGAGAAGUGUAGACUAAGACACUUGAGAUAAUCCAUUGCUUCCUCUUUCUUACCUCUUUUUGAGGGAAAAUUUAUGUCAAGGAUACCAUCAAUGUACAAGGAAUCCAUAUCUGUAUGUGAAAAUACGUGUGCAUGCAAAACCUAUGAAAUGUUCAAUAAACAUAUAAGCUCAAAAACUAUCAUGUAUUCUAAUAUUAUUAUAGUUUUUUAGGACUAAUUAUACAUUAUCCCUUAUAAUUAACUAUAUUUAGUAUUUUGAUCAUUCUACUUUCAAAAGUCAUAUUGAGAUUCUUAUAUUUAUAAUAGUGAAAUAUUUAACAUUGUUUCUCCUCACGUCAUCGACUCUGUUGAUGAAAAUAUCACAGAGUUUACCACUGAGCACGUGCUAAUUUUGUUUUACCUCGACUUAUCACUGAGCAUGUGUGAUAUUUCCAUUAAUAAAAUCGAUGACGUGAGAAAAAAUAAAAUUAAAUAUUUUACUUUCGUAAGUAUAAGGAUCCUAAUAUAAUUUUUAAAUAUAUAAGAAUCGAAAUACUAACGAUAAUUAGUUACAGGGGAAAUAUAUAAUAGUGACUAAUUUGAUUUAGGUUCAUGAUCCUAAAAGUCAGAAGUCAGUAAAAUAUCAGAGCUAAGGUCAGUGGAUGAAAGAAGGUAAACAAAGGAAUUGGUGAGUCAAGUUGACUAUAGUUAGGCCUAAUUAGUGUAUUCCACGUAAACUCAUCUUAUUAACAAUGUGUGUUCCCGACAGGAUUACGACAUUGACAAUGAACAGAAAGGAAUGGAAUUCAGUUUGAAUGGGUUUGAAUCCUUGUGUUGUUUGAAGUAGUGAUGUAGAUGAGCCACUGAGACUGUUUUCAGUACUGCAGAGCUGCUGAUAGGCAUUGAUAGAUAUCGAUAUCUUUGUGUGUGACAGAGAGGACUGCUUCAGCGAGUUCAUACGUCCAUCUCACCCACAAGACCACAAGAAAGAGCGUACUAAGUUCGCAGGAACGCAGCACCCCUCUCGACUGUCCAUGGCUGUGUUCUCUGUGCGCGAGAGAGAGAGAGAGAGAGAGAUGAAGCGAGGAAUGAAGGGGAUGAGCGGCACCUCGGGAAGCGUGUGAGGGUUGUGUGGGACAGCACGUGCGCGCGGUCUCCAAGCCUAAAGGCAGCAGCGCCAUUGUGGUCCUGUCGGCCAUGUCCCGCAGACACCCACCUCAUCCCCACCUCCCACUGCUUUGCUCUCACUCUCUCUCUCUCUCUCUCUCUCUCUCUCUCUCUCACACUCUCACUCUCACUCUCACUCUCACUCUCAUUGGGAAUGGCUCCAUCGUCCCGCAUGCUGCACUCAAAGUGCGCUCCCCGCCCGCAAAUCCCGGGCUGCAACCUCCCACCUUGCGUGCGUUUGCAGUAUGGAUCCACUGGCACUUCAGCAUUCAGGAAAGAGCAGCAGAAAGACGAGCCUUAAAGAAACACACCCACAUAAAGAAGAGCCUCACAGCUCCCUCUCUCUCUCUCUCUGUGUUCGCACACAAACAUGCUUCCAGUAAAUACCAAUGAAACUAGACACAUAAGAAGAGUCUUACAUCUCUCUCUCCCUAGCUAUCUAUCUCUGUCUCCAUAUAUAUACAUAUAUCUGCAGUAUCUCCAUAAAUAUACUUGUGCAAGUUCGCAAUACAUAAGAUAGACACAUAAGAAAAGCCAUGGAGAGAGAGAGAGAGAGAGAGAGAGAGAGAGAGAGAGAUGAAUAUAAUUAAGUGAGCAGAAAGAAGAUGUCCUUAAUGAACACCAUGUUACUCAACAAUGUGAGAUUAGCCAGUAGCAUGAAGAAAGCACACAUCAUUUUAUACUCAACAGCAUCUGCCGGUAGCAUGAAGAAAGCAUACAAUAAGUCUCUGACAACCUAUAUAUAAUAUAUCGAUUCCCGCUCGCUCCCAUCCGAUCUGUCCACUUCCCGUCCGCCAAUCAUCUCUUCCCAUGUCAGCAUCAACCCACGUUCUGUCCCCUCACCGCGGUCUGCUCCUCCGCGGUAUCCCCAAGUAUUUACUACAACCUCACGAAUCACAGACCUGAGGGAAAAAGAUGAGAAGUUUCAGCUCAUCUGUGACAUACGUCUCGAUCACUGGAGUUGUUUUCUAUCUGAUUACUUUGAUUUGAAGUGUGAACUGUAUGCUGAGCUUUGUUAUUCAAUCCAUGGCAACAUCAUCUCCUUCUUCUUCCUCAAGCUUUCUCCUUGACCUUGCAAGGCUUUUCACGUCAUCUCCUUCUUCUUCCUCAAGCUUUCGCCUUGACUUUGCAAGGCUUCUCGACCCGGCCAUGUGCCCUGGUGGCUCAGAGAAAGAUUAGAGCAUGACUUGCACCAUCUGUUGAAUGAAGAAAUGAUGGAUGGAGUUGCAUUCUCCAAUCUCAUGGGCUUAAUUAUCAUCUACAACACCCCAUUGUGGAGCAGCUUUGAUUAAUCAUGUGAGGUAUCUCAAAAAGAGAGCAAAAACAUUAAUUAUUAUGCUACUUUCGAUCAUUGUACACAAGGAUCAUUUUAUCCAAAAAGGUUUAUGAUGAUGACAGUGGUAAUUGGAAACUGUAAAUAACUCAAUAGAAAUCCAAGCUUAUGUCCUUCAACUGUUAAAUUAUGAUGCAUAAGCACUUGAAUAAUUGCCUAAACCUAAGGAAGAUUCUCUAACCCAAUCAUUCUAUGAUGAGAACUCUCUUAGGAUCUGAAGAUGUAAAGUACCAACAAAUACUUGGAUCUUUGUAGCAGACAGUAACUUUGAUAAGGGAAAAAAAAGGAUUUUUUUAUAAUUUUUGGUAUAUUUUUUAGGUUACCACUUGAGAAGAAAAGCUUAUCAUAAUUAAAGAACAAGAAGAUACAAGUUAUAUUCUCUAUCAACAUAUAUACAAUUCAUCAAAUGAGGAAUGACAUGCCUAUGCUAUGAAGUCAAAUACUAGAGUAUGAGAAACUAUAAUCUGUGUGUUGGGCAUUGAAAAUGGAUGGUGGUACCUUUUUAUAUUAAGAUGAAGUUAAUUAAUGUGGAGAGUGGAAAGCAAUAGAUAACUACUGGUUUCCUUAACCUUGUCACCAUCAUGUUAUCGAUGCCUCCUCACCAAUAAGUUUCCUUCUGCAGGUUAUCCUUGUAUUAUAGUCAAAUGGAACUGACAUUCUUGCCCAUAAAUUAAUGUGAUCUGUGAAGAAAUCUCUUCAUUUAGAAACUUAUGCCUAAAAUUCAUGCUCAAACACUUCAAACACAUGUUACAAGCAUAAUUAAACAUUAGAUCAUCAUAGAGUAGUUGAAACCCUAAUAUUAAGAUGCAAAAUUUUACCUACAACCAUAGCAUGAGUUCAUCCAAGAACCCCUCUAUUAAUUUCUUUAGCUGACAAUAAUCUUUGUCUUAUCCUAUUAGUAUCAACUGAAACAUGCAUUAGUUCUAUUUCAAUACAAAUGAUGGAGUGGAUUAAGUUUGCCAAAAACCUAAGUUAGAGUCUCAAAGGUCUCAAUCUCAGAAAAGAUAUGCUUAGGAUUUGCUUUAAGACAUGCCAUGACUAGGACUCAACUUGUGUUAUAUUGAUGUAAUUAGUCACUCCACUGACCCUAACACAUCACCUACAAAUUGUAACCUUAUUUCUCAUCCUUUAGUCACCAUUUCCAUCUUACUUAAGAGUGGAAUACUUCUUGGAAACUUCAAACUGAUUCAGGGUAUUACUCUCUUGGUUGUUGAUUGAUAAACAAUGUGUCUAUUAACUGCUAAUAAUUAUAGAUAUUGGAAGGAUCUGAUUGUCCUAAAACUAAUAAUUCAAUGAUCAGCUAAACAAUUUGUAAGUGCAUAAAGUUUUGUGCUGCAGAUAGAUAGCUAAGAUUUGAUGAUCAAAGGAUACUGAUAAAAGUUAAUUUAUUCUUGGCUUUAGGAUGGCUUAUAUCUAUAGCUUGAUAGUUACUGCAAUCACAACUAUAAGUUACAUUACAUGUUAGCUUUAGACAGCAGCAGGCUAAUUCAGAAUGAUAUUUUCUUUUGGAAAAGUUUGAUUUAAGUUGACUAGGAUAUGAUCAUUGAUAUCUGAAGUUUAACUUUGUGUUAGAAAUUUCUGAGAUCAUUGAUUCUUCUUAUUUGGUUGUUUAAUAUCAAAGACAUCAAUGAAGCAUGCAUGAAACAAAGUAUUCACAAACACUACAAAUGUUGACAUCUUUUUGCAUAAGAUAUUAUGUGCUAAGUUAAUGGAGAAUAUUUCCUUUUAGCAGCCAAGAAUGUUACAACUUUGAUCUCCUCUCAGUUACACCAAAUGACUCUUUAAAGAUUAACAAGAGUGGAUUUAAAACUUAUAAUGUGGUACAAACCAAAGUAAGACUGCUGAAUUUUGUAUCUUGUUUGCAACACCAACUUCUUCAAGUGCUGAGUUACAGAUGAUCUCAUGGGUUCCAACAAGUCAACAGUGAGUCUGAUAUGAAUCCUGAAACUAUGCUGCUUUCCUAUAUAUCUAAGCAUGAAACCAAACAAAGUGUAAUUUGUUUCAAUGGAUCAACAGAAGGACAUGCUGAGCUAUUCCAUUCCAUGAACUUUACCUUUUAUAUUGCAAUGAUGCCUACUGCCAUUUGCCACAAUGAUUCUUGUUGCAUAUCUUUCACCUUUUCUCUUAAAUGAUUGCAAGAAGGCCAUGUUGGCUCUUUAGAAUGAUUCCUAAACGAAAACAACAUCAACCAGAAGGUGCAGUGUUGGAAAUGCAGAAUGUUAAGCUUGCAGUACUCUUUCACUUUUUGAUCUCUUCCUCCUGGCCUUUGAAGGUGCAUUCUAAGAAUCUCUAUGGUAAUAUUAUUUUAGUUAAUGGAGUCUCAGUGCAAGCUACUGAUCAGUGGAAAGAAUAUUUUGGCAGUUUAAAUGGGUUCAAAGAUGUUCCCUCCUCUCAUUAGCCUCACAUUUCAUAAGGUUCACAUAUGCAAACAAGUUAUCAGAUCUGUUUUCUGCAUUCAGAUGCAAAUCAUAGAGUUCACCUCUGAGUAUAUCAUGUAGCCAAAUAAAAAUUAACUAUUUCUCCAAAAAGACACUAUAUAGCAAAGAUAAUGAAUCUUUUACAUAUCUCUUGGCACUUGUAACUGGUCACGAAUACAUUUGGCUUCAAUGUUUCCCCUGCAUUCUAACCCUUGUCAUGGUAAAGCACCAACAAAUGCCUACCUGAAAGAUGUAAAGCAAGCAUAAAAAAGAAGUAUAAACAACUGUCUCCAGAUUAAGAACAGUGAAGUGCUGAAACACUGAACCCAAAAAGAUCCGACUUUUAGAUCAUGAGGUUUCCUGUUGGAUACUCAGAAAGCCUGCAAAGACUUUGUACUCAAAAAGUAAAAAGAACAUGUACAAUGAUACCAACAAGGUCAUCUUUCCAUAUACUAAAGAGAUCAUAAUUUCAGAAUAAAGAUGAAUGAAGAGUAAAAUAUUCAAACAACUGCUUUGGGGAGUUGCAUGCUAAGCACAUCACACACAUCUUGGUUGGGUUCUGUGGGUACAUUCACCAUAAGGAUUCCAAUUUCCAGGUUUGUCUUCCUACCAUCAUUCUUGGUGUUCUGUGGCAAACUUACACUCAAGAAGAACUUGUUGAUGCUUUGCUUGACAUCACCUUUCUCUUCACUCUCUUUUAGUCCUUUGCCCUCUUAAUUUGAGGACCUUCUCUUCUUCCAUUUCAAUGAUCACCUCUUCCUUCUUCAACCCUGGGAGGUCAGGAAAUAAUGGACAGACAGCUUCAGGCAUUGAUUGUUAUCAGGGACAGCUUUACAAGGUGUAAUUUUCUUGGUCAUGCUUGUUUCUUCCUUCCUUGUUCUUUCUCGACAUGAUAAUGGAUUCUACAAUCAUUGAAACCUUUCACUGUUUAAAGUUGAAGAGGAUUCUGCAAUCUCUAUACGCAGGAAAUAAGAGAAAUGCCAUUUUUUCUUCCAAGUUCAUGAAAAAUUGCUUUUGAUUUAUGUGUACUAUACGGUAUCAGCUUAUCAGCCAAUAAAUGAAGUUGAGAGAUAAUUCAGUAACUUCCGACUUGUCAUGUAAUCUGUAGAUAUGUGGUGCAAUCCUGUCUUUUUGGCAUGAAGAACCAAUGAUAGAUUUCUUGAGAAGCAUCUGUUUACCAGUAUGUCUAAUUGGUCAUGUUUUGUGGUGAAUAAGUAACCUAUAUAUUUAACAGUUUCAUUUUUUUUCAUGAAAUGUAUUUAAUAGUUAUAUCAUUUAUACCUCACCAGAAGUACUGUUCAGCAGUCAGAGCAGGAAUCUCAUAACAGAGCUUGUGAUUAAAGCUUAGAAUAUUCAUGUUCUUUAAAGAUGAGGAAUAUUUUUUUUGGUUCUGAGAAUUGGAGCUCGAGUGGAAGGAAUAUCUUUUUUGAUUGAGACUGUGAAUUAGACAAGCCCUGCUGUGGUGGCUAACUGAGAAGCAGAAUAACUAUUAAAUAAUUGAUCAUGAUGUGGUCUCCAGGUAUGCAAAUUGGAUCUCUAGAUGUUGCUUUUGGAUGGGUUUCUUUCUUGACCAGAGAAGUCUCUUUUGAAAGGCUUGCCUUCACUGUCCCCAUUUAUCUUGUUUGAUUUGGUUUAGGAACCUAGAAAGCAAUUUGUGAUAACAAGAAUAUUUGCAUCAAUGUUAGGUUCCUGUUUAAGGAACACUAAGACAUAGUUGCUUGCCAGAAAUUAAAUUAUCCAUGAUUCCUACUGGAAUUCUUAGCACUUCUUAUUUGAGGAAAACAAACCUUAGAACUUAUAGUACAUGACUACAUUCAUGACUGCCUUUGUCUACUUUAUUCAUAAUCUAUUAUGUUCAGAAUCCUAACUAGAUUGAGUUGUGAAAUUUUACAUUGUCUUUAGCUAGAAAUCUUACAUGUAUUUUUUUUUAUAGUGGCAAUCAGCACUGCAUCAGAAGAUACAUGUCUUAGAGAUGAAGCAGAUCAGACUGAUAAAGCCUGCCAUGUAAUUAUUUCUAGCAACUCAAACAUAAUAUGUUUCCUUGCAAUAAGAAACAAGCAGAAUGAUUCAUGGUUAUGACUUAAAAGGGUGAAAAAGGCAUG
rnacentral:lncRNA from 1 species